CUUUCUUUAAGUGACACAGAGGUGAUUCUGUUUAACUCCCAAGUUCUUGGUCUGUAGGAAGAUAUCACCAAUUUAAAAUCAAGAGCAGAAGGAGAAAUGUUCUUGCCACUCAUAAUUUUCUAAAAACAUAAGUAACAGAAAUGAAAUCCAAAGGUAAAUAGACCUCCUUUACCGUGACACCCUAAUUCCAUUUUAAGGCUGUUGUACUUUACCCUUUUCCUGUGAAAGAAUUAAACUGAAAUCAUUGGAUUUCUCUCUUUUUGUUUAAAAAAAGUAAAAUCAGGGAGUUGAAUUUAUUUUUCAACUUAUAUAUUAAGUAUACUAUAAAAAUAUAUUUUUAAUUGGAAAUAGUAUUAUUUAUUUAUUUUUAAUUUAUUAUUAUUUUUUUUAAAGUAGGCUCCAUGCUCAAGGUGGGGCUUGAACUCAUGACCCCAGGAUCAGGAGUUGCAUGCUCUACCGACUGAGCCAGCCAGGCACCCCUGGAAAUAGUAUUUCUGUUCUUCACUGUUGAGAAAGAUGUUGAUUCAUAAUUAAUGGGUAUACAGCAAUCCUUUAAAAGUAAUUUUGCAGCUCUGUCACAAAUGGAUUUGCUCCAUUUUUUAACUCUAAGUAUUUGAGAUCAGAUUGUUGAAAAGUCUGUAAGUGUAUUAACAAACCACCUUUUUGAUGUGCCUUUAUUUUUUUUUAAUGUUUAUUUAUUUAUUUUGAGAGAGAGUGAGGGAGCAGGGGAGGGGCAGAGAGACAGGGAGAGAGAGAGAGAAUCCUAAUACCGGACUUGAACCUACCAACCAUGAGAUCAUGACCUGAGCCAAAACCAAGAGUUGGAUGCUUAACUGACUGAGCCACCCAGGUGCCCCUCUGAUGUACCUUUGAAGUUAAUCUGGGAAAAUGUCGAUGAAACACUGCUUUCGGGUAUGUGGGAUAUAUUGUCUAAUUAGCAGCAAAUUGGGAAAUUACUGGGAGUGCUCUAUUCCCAGUUUCAGCAGUUAAUUCAAGUGUCAAGGAUGGCAUUUUUAUAUUAGACUGUAUCAGGACAGGAAAUGUUUCUGAAAACAUCAGCAUUAUUAUGGUUUUAUGUAACCAAAGUUGAUAAGCCUGGAUAUGUUUUUUUCUAGAAAUAUUUAUUUUUUUAAAAAGCAAGGUUUGUAUUUUUGAAGUUUUGAUAAUCCUUGUGAAAUAAUAUGUUAAGAUGGUUACUGAAACAAAAGCUGCUGUCUAUCAGCAAUAUGAGAGAAAUUUAAAUUACAUAGCUGAUUAAGCUUACUUUAGUUGGAAAGAAACAUUUCUCUGCCUUUUACAAUUACCAGAUGAUUUAUUUACUUUUUCUUUCUUUUUUUGGUAACAGCUUUAUUGAGAUAUAUAUGAUUCACAUACAUUUUACCUGUUUAAAUGGUACAGUCCAGUAGACUAUAUUAAUAGAGUUGUGCAAUCAUCUCUACUCUGUAAUUGCAAACAUUUUCAUCACCUCUGAAAGAAGCCCUGUACCCUUUAGCUGUCACCCCACCUCCCUCCUUUCCACUGAUCUCAUCUCAUUAUAUAUUUACCUGUUAUGGACAUUUCAUAUAAAAAUUUUUUUUUAAUCAUUGUUUAUUUUUGAGAGAGUGAGAGAGAGACAGAGUGAGAGCAGGGGAGGAGCAGAGAGAGAGGGAGAUACAGAAUCCGAAGCAACUCCAGGGCCCGAGCUGUCAGCACAGAGCCCGACAUGGGGCUCAAACCCGUGAACCGUGAGAUCGUGACCUGAGCCGAAGUCGGAUGCCCAACCGACUGAGCCACCCAAGCGCCCCCUGGACAUUUCAUAUAAAUGGAGUCUUACAGUAUGUGGUCUUAAAAAAUUUUUUUACUUAUUUUGAGAGAGAGAGAGAGAACACGAGCAGGGGAGGGACAGAGGGAGGGAGAGAGAGAAUCCCAAGCAGGCUCUGUGCUUUCAGAGAUGUGUCUCAGUCUCAUGCACUAUCAGAUCAUGACAUGAGCCAAAAUCAAGAGUCAGAGGCUUAACCGACUGAGCCACCCAGGCGCCCCAAUAUGUGGUCUUUUGUGACUGAUUCCUUUUGCUUAGCAUCGUGUAUUUCGGGGUGUCUCUGUAUUUUGUUCCUUUCUGUUCCAGAUAACAUUCUGUGACACGGAUAGUCCACUUGUUUAUUCACUCAGCAGUUGGUGGAUGUGUGGGUUGUUUCCACCUUUUGGCCGUUGUGAAGAAUGCUGCUGUGAACAUUAAUGCACCAACUUUUGUGUGGACAUACGUUUUUCAUUUCCCUUGGGUGUAUGCCUGGGAGUAGAAUUGCUGGAUCAUUCGGUAACUCCGUGCUUAACAUUUUGAGGAACUGCCGGAUUGUUUUCCAUAGAAGCACGUAAAGGUUCCAGUUUCUCCAUAUCCUUACCAACAAUUGGUAUUGUUUGUCUCUUAAAUUCUAGUCGUCCUAGUUGGCAUGAAGUGGUCUCUCAUUUUAGUGCAAGUGAGCAAGGAGCAGAGCGAGAGAGAGAAGUGGGGUUCAUCUGGGGCUUGUGAUUUUUACCCGAUGCGGGGCUCGAGCUCACCAGCUGUGAGAUUGUGACCUGAGCUGAAGUCCCAGGCUUAAUGACUGAACCACCCAGGCGCCCUCUCAUUUUAGUUUUGAUUUACUUUUUUCCUAAAGGCCAAUGGUGUUGAGCAUCCUUUCUUGUGUUUAUUGGCCAUUGCUAUGUCUUCUUUGGAGAAAUAUCUGUUCUUUUGUCCAUUUUUAAAUUGUGUUGUCUUUGUUGAGUUGUAAGAGUUCUUUAUAUAUUCUGGAUAUUGAGCCUUUGUCAAAUGUAUAAUUUGCAAAUAGUUUCCUUUAUACUGUGGGUUGUCAUUUCACAUUCUUGAUAGUUUCCUUUGAGGCACAGAAGUUUUUUUUUUUUAAUAUUUUUAAAUGUUUAUUUAUUUUUGAGAGACAGAGAGAGAGAGAGAGAGAGAGAGAGAGAGAGAGAGAGACAGACAAAGCAUGAGUGGGGGAGGAACAGAGAGAGAGGGAGACACAGAAUCCGAAGCAGGCUCCAGGCUCCGAGCUGUCAGCACACAGCCCAUCAUGGGGCUUGAACCCGCCAGCUGUGAGAUCAUGACCCAAACUGAAGUCGGACACCCAACCAGGACUGAGCCACCCAGGCGCCCCAUGGCACAAAAGUUUUUAAUUUUGAUGAAGUUUAGUUUAACUUCCCUUUCGUUGCUUUUGGUGUCAUAACCAAGAAUCCACUGCCAAAUCCAAGGUCACAAAGAUUUAUACCUGUGUUUUCUUCUAAGAGAUUUGUAGCUUCAGAUCUUACCUUUAGGUCUUUGAUCCAUUUUGAGUCAAUUUUUGUAUAUGGUAUGAGAUAGGGGACCACAUUCUUUCUCUCGCAUGUUGGUGUCCUGUUUUCUCAGCACCAUUUGUUGAAGAGUCUGUUCUUUCCCCCCAUGGAAUAGUCUUGUCUCCUUGUCACAAUCGUUUGAUAAAUGUAUUGGUUUAAUUCUGGGCUCUCAGUUGUGUCCUGUUGAUAUUUAUGCCUAUCCUUAUGCCAGUACCAACUGUGUCUUGAUUACUGUUGCUUUGUAGUAAGUUUUGAAUUCAGGAAGUAUGAUGCCUCCAACUUUGUUCUUUUUCAAGAUUGUUUUGACUCUUUUGGGUUCCUUGAAUUUCCAUUUGAAUUUUAGCAUCAACUUGUCAAUUUCUAUAAAGAAGCCAUCUGGGAUUCUGAUAGGGAUUGCGUCAAAUCUGUAGAUUAGUUUGGGGAGUAUUGCUGUUUUAACAAUAUUAAGUCUUGUAUCUAUGAACAUAAUGUUUUUCCAUUUAUCUAGAUCUUUUAAAUUUUUUUUCAAAAAUAUUUUGUAGUUUUCAUGGGGCAUCUGGCUGGCUCAGUCAGAAGAGCAUGCAGGUCUUGAUCUCAGGGUUGUGAGUUCAAGUAGAGACUACUUAAGUAAAUAAACUUAAAAAAAUUUUUGUAGUUUUCAGAGUUUAACCUUUUCAUAUUGGUAAAAUACAUAAGAUAAAAUUUUCCAUUUUAACAUUUUAAGUGUUUAUUUGGUUGCAUUAAUUAUAUUCACAAAACAAAAUAUAAGGUUUGCACUUAUUUUGUUAAAUUAUUCCUACGUUUUUUUUAAUGCUAUCGUAAAUGGAAUUGUUAAUCUCAUUUUCAGAUUGUUCAUUGUAAACGUAUACAGAUACAAUUGAACUUUUUAUAUUGAGCCCGUAUCCUGCAAAAUUGCUGAACUCAUUUAUUCUAAUAGUUUUUAGUGGAUUCCUUAGGAUUUUUAUACAUAAAAUCAUGUCACUUGUGAAUAGAGAUAGUUUUGCUUCUUCCUUUCCAGGCUGGAUGUUACUUCUUUCUGUUGCUUAAUUGCCCUGGCUAGAACCUCCAGCACAAUGUAGAAUAGAAGUGGUAAGAGUGGAAAUUCUUGACAAAACGUCUGAGUCUUUCUCCAUUAAGUUUGGUUUUAGCUGUGAGGUGUUUUUUUUUCUUUUAGGUUUAUUUAUUUUGAGAGAGAAAGAGCGCGCGCGCACACACACACACACACACACACACACACGCAUGGGGGAGCGGCAGAGAGAGAGAGAGGGAGAGAGACAAUCCCAAGCAGGCUCUGUGCUAUCAGUGCAGAGCCCGACAUGAGGCUCAAUCUCCCAUACCACGAGAUCAUGACCUGAGCCGAAAUCAGAGUCAGAUGCUUACUUGCUUGAGCCACCCAGGGGCCCCAAACUGUGAGUUUUCAUCAAUGCCCUUUAUCAGGUGGAGGAAGUUUCCUUCUAUUCUAGUUUGUUGAGUGUUUUUUCCAUAAAAGGGUGUUGGAUUUUGUCAAUUACUUUUUCUGGGUCCAUUGAGAUAAUAAGGUGGCUUUUGUUUCUCAUUCUGUUGAUGUAUAGUGUAUUACAUUAACUGAUUUUUGUAUGUUGAACCAACCUUAUGUUCUUGGGAUAAAUUCCACUUGGUCAUGGUGCAUGAUUGUUUUUCAGUGUUGGCUGGAUUGGUUUACUAGUAGUUUGUUGAGGAUCUUUACGUGAAUAAUCAAAAGAAAUACUGGUUUGCAGUUUUUUUCUUUCCUUGAAUGUCUUUGGUUUUGCUAUCAGGGUAGUACUGGCCUUAUAGAAUGAGUUAGGAAAUAUUCUCUCUUCAGUUUUUUUUUUGUUUUUUUUUUUUUUGGUGAGAGUUUGUGAAAAUUUUGUAUUCUUUAAAUGUUUGAUAGAAUUCACCCGGAAAUCUAUCUGAGCUUUUCUUUGUGGUUAGUUUUUUGACUAUUGGUUCAACCCCUAUACUUGGUAUAGAUCUAUUCACACUUUCUCUUUCUUCACGAGUCAGUUUGGUAAUUUUUAUCUUUUUCAGGAAUUUGUCCAUUUUAUCUAGAUUAAAUUUGUUGGCAUAGAGUCUGUUCAUAGCAUUUCUUAAUCCUUUUAUUUCUCUAAGAUCUGUAGUAAUGCCUCCUCUUUCAUUUCAAUUUUAGCAAUUUGAGUCUUCUCUUUUUUCUUGGCCAUCCUUAAAAAUGGUUAAAAUGGCAAGUUUCAGGUUUCACCAACAAUAAAAAAGUAACUGCAAGUAAAAGUAAUUUAGAUCCAUCUAUGCUGUUAGUUUUUUCUGCGCCCUGUACGGUAUUUUAUUCAUGUAUCACAGUUUAUUCGUUCACUCUGGAUGGCCAUCUGGAUUGGCCAGUUUUGGGGCUAUUAAUGAAGAGUUCUACUGGAAACUGCUUUGGUUUUUAAAUUCCCCAGAGAGUUUCUUUGACUCCAAUGCAUCUAUCAUAAGUCAAUUUUUCUUUAAAAAUUCCUUUACGAACAUUUUUUUAGUUACUUUUUGGUAACCUUGAACUCUAAUAGUUUGUGGAGGGUGGUCAUGGAUGUUCCAAGUUACAGUUCUUUGUGAUUUAGGAUUGCCCCUGGUGCCAAGUAUUAAAAAUCUCAGAACAUAAAUCACAAAACUUAUAUUAGGCCAGUGCUAUUAUUAUUUGAAAUAGUUUUAAAAUUAUAAAAAUAACAUGUGUUCAUGAUUUAAUAAAUUGAAACAGUGCAGAAUGGUAUGCCAUAGAAAGUAAAAGUCUUUCUCCUCCUAAUUUAUAUAAGUUUUUAAAAUUUACUUUUAAAUUUUAGAGCAUAUUUUAGACUUCCCACUAAAAUUGAAUAUUGAUUUGAAAGGAUUUUUAAUAUCAGAAUAUAUUUCUAUUCAUAGUUUUAAAAUUUUCAUGAGAAAUUAAUGUUGAAAUAUGGUAAUUACAUAUAUCAAGAGGGUUGUGAGUUUUGUCUUAGAUAGGCUUAGUUUUUAUUGUUUAUAUUAAUAUAUAUAACGCUAGUGAAUCAUUCAUGCAUUCCCAGGAUGGAGUAAAGUACACUUAGCCAUGGCGUUUUUUUUUUUUCCCAUAACUGCACAGCCGAACCUGUCGUGUUCAUGUUUCAUUAGUUUUAAAUUUAUAUUCCCAGCUGUAAGGGGGGGAAUCUGUAGUUAGUGGACUCAUGUAUAAAAUAACUUAAUUGCUUUCAUUUUCUUUUAUCUGUGACAUCAUUUUUAAAUUAAUUUUCACUAAAGAGUUAAUUAGGGGAAUCACCAGUUUUAUGUUGUCAAAGCUUAUGGCAUUUAUGUCCUGUUCUGUGACUAUAAUGAAGUCUUCCUUGUUUUGUCUAAGUUGGUUCUAAGAAUUGGAAGCUAAUAAAUGGCAUUUACAGUACAAGCAUACCUUAUUUUAUUGCACUUCACUUUAUUACGCUUCACAGAUACUGCAUUUUUUACAAAUUGAAGGUUCGUGGCAGCCCUGUGUCAAAACUAGUCCGUCAGCACCAUUUUGUUACAGCAUUUGCUCACUUCAUGCCUCUGUCACAUUUUGCUAAUUCCUGCAGUAUUUCAAACUUUUUCAUGAUUAUUGUAUUUGAGUUACUGCAGUUGCAUGGUAAAACUUUAAUGGAUGAGGAGUUGCUUCUGAUGGGUGAGCAAAGAACGUGGAACGUGGACUCUUGAGAUGGAAUCUAUUGCUGGUGGAGAUGCCACGAAGAUUGUUGACAUGACAACAGAGGACGUAGCCGAUCACAUAAACUUAGCUUGAUGACGCGGCUGCAGGGUUUGAGAGGCUGGGCUCCCAUUUUCAGAGUUCUACUGUGGGCCAAAUGCUAUCAGAGACCAUCGCAGGCUACAGAGAAGUUGUUCGUGACCGAGAGUCCAUCCCUGUGGCAGACUUCAUUGUUGUCUUGUUUUCAGAAGUCCCCACGGCCUCCCCAGCCUCCACCUAUCGCCUGCCAGGUCAGCAGCCAGUACCAUCGAGGCAGGCCCUCCACCAGCAAAAAGUUGACUGACUGAGAGCUCAGAUGAUGAACGAUACUGGCUACCAGUGACUGUUCGUGCCGCAGAAGAUGUACUGACCGUGAAAGCAGGAGCAGCUGUUACCUUACCGUGCGGAAGGAAAGCCAGACUUCUCUGAUUUGCAGCAGUGGCACACACAGAAAAUCUGAUAAUAUACUCCGCCUGGAGGAUUCUGUUAAGAACACUAAGAAAAAUAAGGGGAGUUAUUUUUUCCUCUCAUUUUAAAAUUGGAAAAUUUGUUCUGAGAAAUAUGAAUAAUCAUAUAUGUGAGAAAUAAAGAUAAAAAGAGAAUAAAAAUACCAGCCAUUUAUAUGAACUUGGGCUUUGUGUUUUCUUAGCUUACUUUAUCAAAAGCAGGUAAUGAUCUCUAUCCUGCAGGUUUUAGAGAUUGUUUUAUGACAUCCGUGACGCGUAUGAAAACGUUAAGCAAGGGGUGGCUGCCGUUAGCAAUGGAGUGGAUUUAAUAUUUUAUCAAAUAUUUGGGGUGGAAGAAAGAGUAAAAGACUAAUUUACUCAGCCAGGAUCUCACUUAAAUAGGACCGUGGCUUAAGUUUGAAUGAAUGGUAACGGAAGGUUGGUGGGUAUUGUCUGGUUGCUGAAAAUUCCCUCAAAUGACUGAUUACUGAAAUUCGGUCACCUUUAUUUUGAAUGUGUUGAUUUGCUGACGGACGCUCUGCAGACUUCCCACUUUGUGAUUUUACUCUCCCCACUGCUUGACUCUCAGCUGCAGUGUCCUUCCUGUAUACCAUGUUGUUAGUGUCCUUUGUCUCGAGCCCUGUGACUUGUCUUCAGGAAAUGUGCCAGCCAGGCUCGAGCACGAGAUGAGAACCAGGAGGAGCAGGUUAGGACCUACUCUGACAGACUGGUGGCAGGAACUUUGGAGCCCCUCUUCUUCCCUUCCCUUCCACCACACAGAGGUGGUGUAGACACACCCCCUUCUGGGUUCCCGUCCUUGCCCUUACUGUUACUCCUGCCCUGCUUCCUGCCCCGCUGGUCACAGCCCAGUUGUAAGUGUCUGCGCAGGAUGGCUCUGGCCUUGUGCUGGGUAGGGGGGAGGGGUCCGUCCUUGGUUGUCCAUCCCCCGGCCCCUUCCUCGUCCUGGUGAGGGCCAAAUGACCUGUGGGGCACCACCGUCUGUAGCCAUAGAAUGCUGAAGGUGAACUUUGUCAGUUAUGAUGAUUCCUGGCUGCCUAGUUAACAAAGUAAGAUUUGGGAUUACAAAACCAUCUUUAGAGCGGCUGUGAUACUUACUGCUGAGCUAACAGACUGCACACUGUGAUUGUAGGUGGCCUUACAUACCUCUCUUUGGCACACUGUGAAGUCUUUAUUAUAAUGUGUAUGUGUGUAUAUACACACACACAUAUAUACUUAUAAUCUCAGGUGUUGACUUGAUAAAGCAGUAUGUAUGUUCCUAACUUUAUUUUCUUUAGCAAUAUUAAAAUUUUUUACUCCGAAUUCAAUAAAGAUCAAGAAAAAAAAGAAAAAGCCAGUGAGUAAAAUCAUUAAUUUCUACCAAAAAUAAAAUAAAAUAACCACAGAGCACUGGUGCGGGUGCGUGUGGUCGGAGCCCCGUGCGGGUGAGAGGGCAGUCUCGGGAGACACCGCUGAGGUCCCGGCACCGGCCUUGGAAAAUGGAGUGUCGUUAACAUUCAUUGUAAGGAAAUGGCUGUAUUCUGUGGAUUGCUGGUUGAAGCUUGAGACAUUUAAUUGAUAACCCCGGGAUUAUGGUUUGCUGUUACCAUCUAAACCAGUGAAAACGAGCUUUUUGUUGAUAACAUCUGUGAUGUCAGUAACACAGACUCCUCUCCAUCCCUGCCCCCAUCCACGAGCCUGAUGGGUUAGUUGAUCAGUGAGAUGUUAGCAGUUUCAGAACGGAUCACCUUUACCUCUACCAAGAUGAGUAGUCUUUUGUUUUUUGUUUGGUGAAAAUGAUUUCAGGCAUCUAGUCCAUGCAUUUUUUUGUUUAGCAGCGAAACUCUUCAGAAUGGUGCGUUCGUUCUCCCCGUGUUCACUGCCUCCUCUCCCGUUCUCAAACUCACUGUAAUCAGGCUUUUGUCCCUCAGCGUUCCCUGAGCUGCUGCUGUGUCAGGGCCACCGUGAUGUCCACAUGGCAAAAAACAGUAGUUAAUUCCCAGCUUGUCGCGCGUCUCGAUCUGGUUCCUCCUCGAGGCUCCUGGCUGGUUCCUUCUCUUCCCCCCCAGCCUCCUGAUCUCCAAAGGGCCCGUCCUCACGUCCCCUCCUCUGUCUCUGCUAACCCCCAGGGAUCUCAUCCACGCCUGUGACUCUGAUGCCAGCUGUACACCGAGUACCCACAUUCACAGCUCACGGCCAGGCUCGGGUGUCCCGCCACCUCCCGGCAGACAGGUGCAGCUCACCCCACAGUCUGCUCCAUCCCCCUGCCAUCUCACUCACUGGCGGCUCCCAGCAAACACCCCAACACCUCGGAUAAUUCGGAUAAUGCGCACACUGCAUAUGCAGCCCUGCAGGAAAUCCUGUGGGCUCCACCUUCAAACUGGAGUCAGAAUCCAGCCCCACCAACUUUGCAGCUUCUGUCCAGACCGCUGGCACUGUAUAAACUCUCCUUCCUUACUCUACAACAUUCCCAGUUUCCCUGCCCUUUUUCCUUUUUUCUGAAGGAUUUACUGUUUUCCACAUAACUGCCUGUUCUUCAUACGUAUGAGGAAGGUAGGGAUUUUUGUUCCCAGACCUAGCCAUGCUGCCUAGAACAGUUCCUGGCAAACAGAAGGUGCUUAAUAAGUUAUUUGUUUAAUUGAUUCUGAUAUAUUUUAGAACUUGUAGAUAAAACCUUUUGGGUUCUUACCGGUUAGGUAGUGGUCAUUACCUCAGGGACAACAAGCAUUUUUAUACAGUACUGUGGUUUACGAAAUGCUUUCACGUGUUAACCUCAUGUCUUCAUUUAUUCAGUCAACACAGACUUCAGUCAGCGUAACCUCCCCCCUACGGGAUCCUGGGGUCCUCGCUGUGGCUUCCGAGUGAGAUAAACGAGCCAGGUCUGUGUUCAUGCUGGCCCCCCUCACUUGCUCAGCCAGCUCCUUCUGCCCCUGCAGGUUCUUCCAGAUGGAGACAGCUGGUACCCUUCUCCAUACCUUUGCUGACACUGCCCCUCUCAGGCUCACGGCUGCGCGCUCUCACACACACAGGUGCUCCUGUGUCUAAUACAAAAGCAGGACUUCAAGGAUGAUUUAACUUUGACUCAUUUUUCCCUCUGUCUUCCACAACCCCCUUCAAAAAAUACAUUGUCAUGUUUUCUCCCUUGUGCCCUCACAGCUGGUUUCUUUUCUUUGUUUUCUCUUUCACUCAUACAGCUUGUUCCUUAAAAUUCUUUGUAGCCCUCCCCUUGCUUCCCCAUGUGCCGUGUUCAGUGUGUUUCUGUCCCUGCUCUCUGCUAAGCCCAGAGGACCCCGAACGACAGGGACGUGGCCUCGGGAGGUGGCCCUGCGGAGGGGGUCCGGUCGCAGUCAGGCUUUCCUUAAUAAAUAGGGUUUGAAUUGAAUUUGGGCCAGAGGUCUGCAUUGCUCAGAUCUUGCAGGGCGUGUCUGAGAUGGAUAAGAAGCAGGUCCUUAUCUAGGACUGAGAACUCUGGGACAAAGCCAGAGGGUCACCGCGCCAUGAUGCUGUUUACGGCAAGGGUGCGUGGUCAGCUGGUAGGUGCCCGUGACCAGCAGCGGUCCACAUGGCUGAAGCGGAGGCCUGCAGCCGGCCUCAACCUCUGCUCACCUAGCUGGGUCUUUUGAAUUCACCUUCCUGGUGAAUAGUUCAGAUGUUAAAGCAAAAUACCUUCAGAUCUGUGGCAUUUGAAGAUGGUCACAGGUAAAGGAAGGGUGUGGAGGACUUAGAGCUCGAAGAAAAACUGCAGAGGUGGUUGGAAGGCCCUAGGGGGCUGAACAGGACAGAAAGGAACGAGAAGCUGUGCCCGUUCCUGGCGAGGAUGAGACGCAGUUUCCCCAAAUCUUUGCACUCCAUGGUUGGGUUCUUCACCAGCACCUGAGUGAAAGAAACAGACGAGCCACCGCAUUUAAUUACUAUUUUUCUGACUUAAGUUUUGGGAUGGGGUAUGUCAGAGGGUAACAGAAACCUGAAACAUUUCUUCUGUCCGUGUCAGUUCGCGUAAUCCCAGAGCGAGGAGGUGGCUUAAGGGUCCUUAGGGAGGGGCACUGGAGGGUCGCUUCCGACCAGGCCUCCACUCCAUUAUCUCAGGCUGCCAGAGGGCGGAACGGCUGCCCCACCGGGACUCAGGACCCUGACCCUAGUGCCCUGAAAAGACACAGACUGGACCUGGCAUCAGCCCUGGGUUCAAGGCCUGCAAUCCGGGGCACAGAUCCAGAGUUUCUUGCAAGACGAGGAUAAUGCCACCUCCCACCUGGCAGGGUUACUGGGUCGGGUGGGCAGCAGUAACAUGCAUUUGGUGCAAACUCACAGCCAUUUUGUGGCCACUCAGAUGCUGUGGGUGCUUCAUAGCAGGUGCACCAGGAAAUGCUCUAAAUUAAUGGCUGACCGUUUGACAUGCACGCACUGUGCCCUGUACCUGUUUUAUUGAGAUGAAGUCAAACAAACAAAAUAGCUAGAACUCCUAUGUUAAACAUUCUACUUAACCACAGGAAAAAAAAAAAAUGAAUCCUUCAGAAGGGUUUUGUCCCAUUUCGCCCCAAAGGUGGUAACCUGACUGUGCCCUUUCAAGCAUGUCUUCAGCUCCUGCGUUUCCCAGUCGCUGCACUGCAGUUAAUGACGAGCCUUUGAACAGGUUUGUGGAGCAGCCCCGUCCGGCCUGGCGGGUGUCUGUCACAGGCUGUGCCCGAGGCAGAAUUUCCUUUCCCCUCAUGUUUUGCACUUAUAAAGACAUCCUCAAUCUGGGUGUCACCGAGGAAAAGGCGCAGGUCAGGUGGGAAUGUGAAGGUCACCGAAACGAUUCGAGUGCACUUCGCCGCCUGGCGGAGAGUUCCUUGACGGGGAGUCCGGAGACACGCGGCUUCAGUCAGGGAUCAGAGGUGCCUCAUCCACCGGGGGCGGGGCGGUCCUGAGUGCAGACUGUCUGGGGUGGUUUGGACUCUGCAGGCAAACUUUUCCUUCUCCCCUAAUCUAGCAUGUCCAGGAGCCUCUGCCUGGGGCAGCCCUGACGUUUAAGGUGUGCUCCUCAAAAUAGUCCACCCUCUAGGGCUGUAUAGGGCCCCUUUUGGCACUUGGUUUACAAGGCUGCUUAGUGGCAAUUAUUGGGUACUAUUUAGGUGUCAUCCAUGUGUAAUCGGCCUGGCGAAACUGUUUUGUAACAAGUCUUUAUCUUCUUGGUAAUUUUGCUGGAUUCUAGGAUCAUUUUGGUGGUAGGUUUGUUUACUUAUUGUUAAAUAUGACAUAUAAGUAAUACUAAUAUAAUUGUUAAGAAAACUAUGUCACCCAAUAGCUGUAGCUACCGUUUAAUGAGAAUUUACUAUAUGCUAGACAGAGCUAAGUGCUUUGCUGGGGGGUGGGGUGUUAUAACACGGUAAUUUAUGGUAUAUAUAAUAUAAUUCAGCAGUCUCAGUCACUUUUUGGGUAGGCACCAUUCAUCUCAGCAGGUGAGCAGACAGCCUUAGAGAAGCCAAGGAGCUCUGCCGGGUUCACGCAGGGGCCCAGCGUGUUUGUGUCUAACACCGGGCCCUGGGGUAGUUUGCCCGGCCGCAGGCCCCUUCUGCUCAGUCCUGGAAUGGUGAUCUUGGAGGAAGUCACCCCAGCCUCGGCCCCUGCCAUGUGCUAACCAGCACACAGUCUGUACUUUUGAUUUUCCUGUUUCUUAACUUUAGAGUGUACAUAUACAGCAUGCUUCUAGUGACUCACGGAAGAAAUGGCCUGAAACUGGCUUUCUUUCUGGUGUAGGCACCAAGGCACAAUGCAGUCUUCUGUUUGUGCGUUUGUUGCAUUUGUGUGACUUGUGUAUAUGCCUCACUCAGUUGGCUCUGCUUUUUAUAUCGUUCCAUUGUACCCUAGGAUUUUUUUUAAGUAGGCUUCGUGCCCAGUGCAGAGCCCCAGGUGGGGUUUGAAGUCACGACCCUGAGAUCAAGAUCUGAGCUGAGAUUAAGAGUUGGAUGUUGAACUGACUGAGCCACUCAGGUGCCCCACUCGGGUAUUUUUUUUUAUUUAAAUGUGUAUUUGUAUUCAUAUCAGUCGGGUAGUUGGCUUUAGAAAUCAGACAUCUGUUGUGACGACUGCUCACUUUGCAUAGGCUCUUUGCCCAGCAGGUUGUGGGGGAGACUUGUGCUGCUCUCAGGUCGAAAAGACAGUCGCUUCUAAGUUGACACACAGCAGUGAGGCAGUGGGAUUUUAGGUCGGUAAUUUACAAAGCAGGGCGGGCCAAAAUUACAGUGGUUUGAGAAAAGCAGUCAAUCAACAACCGAGUGGAUGCAGAGACGAAGGAAUGCGUGGCUGACCCAGGAGUCCUUGAACUAGGUCUGAGCAAGGUUAGCCGAGGUGGGGCCAGCCAGCGUUAGUGUGACAGCAGGCUGUUGGAAUGAGAUCUUUCCUGGUUUAUUGUUGACUCCCUGCUACCUCCCCACCCAUCUCCCCACCCUGACUUCUCCAGUUUCCACUGACUCUGUCUGUGCCUUCCGGGCGUGAGUCAGAGGAGGGUAAGGGGCUUCUCUUUCAGUUCUCAGAAGUCUGAGAUUGCGUUAAGUUAAAAUGUGAUGUUUGUUCAUGUUACCACACUGUAAUUCCUGAUGAUCAGCCUACCUGGGUGAGUUCAUAUUUAGAGGACUUUAUCUACAGGGCCCCUUGGAAGAUUCAGAACUGGCAAUUUAUAACCAGAAGGGUUUGUGACGGACUCCCGAUGAAGGAAAGUGUUCUGUCAUUUAACAAAAUUAGAUAUUAAAACAAGUAAACCCCAUUUGAUGUAAGUUAAGCACAUUUUUCAGAAACCUUAUGAUAGGUGUAUCAGCGGUCUGAACUGUGAGAAUGAAUUUGAAGCAGUUUUGAAACUGACUAAGCUGGUACUUGGAGGAGAGUGUCUGCUUUUCCUGCCCCUUGUUAGAUGACAGCCUCAGCCUGACUCUCCGUCCUGCCCUGCUCUCCAGUUCCCCUGUGUGGGCUCAUCGGGGUCAAAGUCAUGCCUUGCCCACUUACCGUCCUGCCUGUGGCCAUACUCCCCGUCCUUGGGGUGCUGUUCUGGCUGGCCCUUUCUCCUCUGUGAGAAAUGAGGUCUGUAGAGCACGGGCAUGUUCCUGGGACUCCAGUGCCAUUCCUGGGCUCCUCCCAGAGCUGCCCCUGUCCUGUACCCAGCCAGCAGUGGGGCCGCCGCUGUGUGCAGCAGCAGGUGUUUGACCUGUGGUCCCUGGAUAGGACCUGAGCAGUAGCUGGCAGUUGCUGGGGGAGGACUUCCAGGAGCGGAGCCCCACACCACAGAGUGGAGUGGACUGGCACUGGGGAGGGAGGGGAGCUGUUCCUCGUGUCCCCUUGUCACUUGGCUUUGGGGGCUCCUGUUUCUGCAGUAGCAAAUGUAUUAUGUGCGCUGGGUAAUCUGUACGACCGGUUCCAGAUGCCUGACCACUGAGUGGCUGAAGCUGCCACAGUGGAGCGGGCGGGUGACGGGGGCGGGCAGUGCGGGUCGAGUCCAGAGGGAGGUCAUGGUGCGAGCUCGAAGGGGGCAGAGUGGCACUUCCCGUGUGCCUUCCUGUGGGCUGCUGCUCUGUGACACAGUCCUCUUUCCUCUGAGUGUCCCUCCCUGACACUCCUUCCAGCCAGUCUGAUCUUAUUUCCUCUCCUGAUAAACAAACCAAAGGCGGGGGGGGGGGGGGGGGGGGCAUUGGUUUCUCAUUUCACAAUGAUUUUCUGUCCGUUUCAGCCAAAGAUCCUCCCUCCACCCCCAGUUCUUUCUGGCAAAGUGCUUUCCUGUUUAAAGGGAACCCUGGACUCCAGUUUUUCCUUAUAGAUGGGAUCUCCUGUUGGCUAGUGCUUGCCUUUGGUUGAUUAAUUCAUUGCCUUUUAGGGCAGUAAGAGAGUUCUUUUGGGGACAGUCUUGGGUUGUGGAAGAAUGAAGAGAUUAGGAAAAGAAAAAUCUCUGAAUAAACAUUUAGUGCUCUAAGGGCUAAAGCUUUGUUCAGUCUUUUUUGGUGGAAGAUAUCCUAGGUUGUUGAAUAUACUUUUACCUUAGAAAAUAUGACACCACUCCCCCCCCCCCCCCCCCGCCACCUGAGGAGGUGACCUUUUUCUGACACCGCAUCGUCAGGUGGGCAUCCAGUCUGCUGUGGCACUGCAUCCCCACCGUGGUGCUAGGGCCUUGGGCAGUGGUGGGUAACAGGGCGGAAGUAGCCCUGCCUUCCCGGGCCUUCCGGGCCAGUGGGGAAGACAUCAGUGAGCUGGUAUGGCUCCGAGGCCUACUUCCUGGAGGACUGAUGGGCUCCUGACCCGGUCAGCCGGCUGGAGUUGGGGCCACCUCCCACCUCAGGGGUCCCAAGGAUGAGCAGGAGCCUGUGGGGGUGAGGGUUCUGCUUAGGAAGACCCAGGCUUGCCUGAGGGCCUGAGCAGCAGAAGGACCUGAGGUGUGGUGGGACCGGGGUGGGGGACAGGGGUGUAGGGGGGCCCACACGUGCAGCAGGCUCUGAGCACGCAGGUCUUAGCCCGGAGCCAUGCCCCGCUGUGAGGAGUCCGAACCGGGGAGGUGAUGCGACUGUGUCGGCUUUGGCACAGGUGGUGCCAUGGCCGGAGAGGCUGGAGAGUGGGUGCGAGGGCACAGGCGAGCUGGGAGGUCCCUGCAGAGGGACGGGGGCACCGGGGAGUGGUCCGAGAUGGUGUGCAGGUGCAGGCGCAGGGGGAGGUGUGGGCGGCGCACGACCCUGAGCAGCCCCACCCCUGCAGUUGCUGGAGCCAGAGUCCCGCGGGGGCCUCCGGCAGCCGGGCCCACUUCUCUGUCCUGGUGCCAGCACAUGGGCGCCCAGCGAGUGUUUGCUGAGCUGUCACCUUUUGGUGUUGGCUCAUGGGAUGUGGAGGAGAGGUAAUUUCACCCUUUCCAAAAUGUAUAAUAGUUAUGUUUCUCUUACUUCAAAAUCGACAGGUUCAUUAUCACCGUGAAAAUCAAACAUUUUAAACAUUAUAGCUGAUCUGUUUUCUUCACGUUACCUGAGAUGUCUGUCUUCUAGGAGAACCUUAGCAUAAAUGAUAUUUAAAGUGAAUCCCAGGGGCGCCUGGGUGGCUCAGUCAGUUGAGCAUCUGACUCUUGAUUUUGGCUCAGGUCAUGAUCUCCCGGUUCGUGGGUUGGAGCCCCGCAUCGGGCUCUGUACCGACGGCACGCAGCCUGUGUGGGAUUCUCUCUCUCCCUCUCUCUCUGCCCCUCCCCUGCUCACGCUUUAUGUCUUUCUCUCUAAAUAAAAAUAAAAUAAACAUUAAAAAAAAUAAAAAAUAAAGUUUUCAUCUUAAAACAGUUUUUUUAAAUGAGCCCCAAAUGGUGUUUUAAUUGUUGUGGUUUUGCUCUGCAUCCUGCAUACUUUGAAUGGGUGACAAGCUGAGUCACACCCCAGUGCAUAUAAUUUCCUGGGACGUUCUGUAUCCCGAAGAGCAUCCCAAGCUCUAGAUUAAGUCAGCGAAGUAACAUUGGCAGACUGAAAAAAGGCUUAAGAAAUGCCAGUGCCCGGGCUCCUCCAGGUCGGUGGUCUCCAGAUUCCUGGCAGUGGACUGUCCUCCCCUCCCGUCCCCAUCUCUCCUCCACCCCCCGCGUCACCUGGUGCUUCUGAGGUCGUGCGUUUUUGCACGUGUGAAACAGCAGUCGAGUUUUACAAGGUUGGCAUCCUCGCUGCCUUGGGCCCCGCAGCAGAAACAGGGAACAUGUUGAUUGCACGCUGCCGUCAUCCCUCCCUUCCCCCCCCAAACCUGCUCUCCCUGGGUCUGUCCCUCGGGAGUCAGUGCACCGUCUGCGGCGGUCCCCUCGAGUUCUUCCCCCCACGUCGCAGGGCACUGCGCUUCCACAGCCUAACCUGGGUGCGGCCGCUUCUUCCUCCUCUCCCGCCGUGUGGGUGUCGUGUGUCGUCAUCAUGUGUGGGCGGCGGCGGUGGGAGGCGGCACCCUCAGCUCUCUCUGCUUCCACACCUGUCCCUACGUUCACCUCCUGUCUCCUCGUGAUUACACUCAGGUUAUGUAACUUGGGCAGGAAAGUCACAGAAGUGACGCUGCAUUUUCUCACUGGGUCCCAUCAGGUGACGUCACAAUUUCAUUUUGUCACACGGCUGGUGGUAGUGUUCGCUCUGAUCCCCUGAUUUAGGUAGUGGUGUUCUCCAGACCUCGCUGUAAAGUCACCUGUUUCCCUUUGUUGGUAACUAUUGUGUUUGGAUUUACUUUGAAACUAUAUAAAUACCUCAUUUCUCAUUAGAUUUUUAAACUUUCAGAUCAGUAUGGACUCCUGGUUUCCUCUUUAAUGUAUGUAGUCUGCGACCAUUGGCGUUGAUUUUGAGUACCCAUGACUCUUCGAGCCCUUCUUUGCUUUCUGGCACAGAAUGUUCUAGCGCCGGCUCUGGGAGGGCCCGAGGAGUCCUGGCUCCUUUGCCGGAGGCUGGUAUUUAGAAACCGAGCUCAGGCGCUAGAUGCGCUCGUUGUUGGAUGUUGCUGCCUCCUGGCCUGUCGGUGGACAGAACGAGGACCCUGUGUAUGUACCCAGCCGUUCAGGUCUGUGUUUUUGAUGUCCCUGUAUAUCAUCAUGAGGUCACACUGACACCCCCGAUUCUGAUCCAGUCCUGCAGGGUUUAUUCUCCCUUACUCGUCUUUGUUUUUAAUUUUUUUUAAUGUUUAUUAUUUUUGAGAGACAGCGCGUGAGAGUGGGGGAGGGGCAGAGAGAGAGGGAGACAGAAUCCGAAGCAGAGCUGUGAGCACAGAGUCCGAUACGGGGCUCGAACUCACGAGCCAUGAGACCGUGACCUGAGCUGAAGUCGGACGCUCAAACGACUGAGCCGCCCAGGCUCCCCAGUUCUCCCUUAUUGGUAACUCCCUUCCCUGACAGUGAGGACCCUGGCUCCCGUUAUCCUGAGUUUGUUCAUUUAUUUGAUCAGUCCUCCUGGUUACGACCCAUCUCCCAUCCCGUUGCCCUGCAGGAGCAUCCUCUCGACCCAGCAUCUCCCCGUUGGGGCUCUGACCCCCACUCCCUGUUGGGCUCUGCCUUAAGGGCUCCAGAAGGAGACUGGAGGGGGGUGCAGGAGGGAGAGGGGCCCGGGGACUUCCUGCUGCUCCUCUUUGAGUGACGCCCCUGGAACCCUUCUUCCUCCAGGCCAAAGUGCCUGCCAGUAGUAGCUGCUCAGGACAUCCGGGCGUCAGGUGGGCUUCUCUCCCUCUCAGCUUCUCGGGUCCCCACCCGUGAGCACAGAGACCCCCGUGCCAGCAGCAGCCCACCCUCAGCCGUGCGGAGCCCUUUGCCUAGUGUCCGGAAUUCCCUCCUUCGGUUCCCUGACCCCGCGGGUAGUCGUGUUGCUUCCUGCGUGUGCGCCUGCUGUGUCCGUGGCGAGUUAGCGCUCCUAACAGUUCUUUACGUGAAACUUCGGUGCUCAGAGAGCUGGUGUGCUUCAACUCUGGGCUCCGCCCGACCCGGAUGACAGGGUCACCCUGGUUUUGCAUUGACUCUGGUUGACAGCUCCCUCUCUGCCGUUCACCUGAGAAGUCCCGUGGGAUCAGCGCGACUUGGUGGCCCUGCGCAGUGGACAGGGCGGUCUGCUGCCGUGCGUGCUUGUCUUCGUGAUUGGUACACGCCAGUGUCACGUUUUCACUGCGUCCUCAGAACUCUUGGGUCUUUUCAAGCGUUCGUCCCAUUUUCCCGUUCAUCUGACUGGCCUGGUGAAUUCAUGCCCAUCCAGUUCGGGGAAAUUUGCGCAGAACUGUGUACAAGGCAGAAGCAACAAGACCGUUUGUAUCAAAGGGGAGGAGGGAACUCGACGAGGAGGAUAAGGUGAUCGAUGUGGAAAGAACAGGGAUGGCCGCGAGGCACUUCGCCCCUACCUGCCUCGGUCCUCAGGGUCAGUGGGCCCCUGAGGUGGGUGAGGAGUCCCGGAGGACGAAGUGGCUUCUCUGGCACGGCUGGCUACCAGGUGGUACACGGAGGAGCUGAAGCUCCAGAAUGGGCGCUGGGCCGCUCGCCCCCGACCCCCCUGCACCGUCAGGCCACGCCAACGCGUAGAGAUGGUUACAGCUGCAAGUUACGACAAACACUGCAUGUUGUCAACGGCAGACGAAUAAUGGGUUAUCUGUUUUUAAAAGCCGUUUAGCAGAAAGUAGGAUUGAAGGUUAGAUCUUUAAAGAGUGGAUAACUUUGUAGGCUCUAAUAGUGAAAGGACGAAGGAAAAAAAUGAAUCAGUUCAGUUUUGUUGAAAAUAUUUUUAUGAAAAGUAAUUUCUGUAAAGUAAAAAUAGU